GCCAUCUUGAUAGUAGCCUCGUGAUUAAUUCCUUUGUUUUUUGCUCAUUAAUAUUGUUUAAAGUGUAAUAUCGAUAGCUUUAUUAUACAAUAAUCUAAUGUGGUAGUGUGCAGUGAAUGGAGAAUUAAUCUCAAAGCUUGUUUAACCACCAUUUUGGAGUCAACGGCCGGUAGUCCACGUGCUUCUCGUAAAAUCCAGCUAUCGGUUUUACGAGACAACUACAACAACCACCGAACAGCAUUUAUUUUGUUCCUACCCUUUUACGUGACAUUGGCUACGGGCAACACCGCCCUCAAGUCCAUCAAGAAAAGAAGAAAACAAUUUUGUUUCGUGCUCCUCUUUUUAUAUUUCAGCCAUUUAAAAUAUUUUAUUUCUAUUACAUUUGGGAAAUGGCCACUGAUAAUGGAUGCUGAUAACUUGAUAAGCAAUAAUAUGUCAAUGUAAUAAAGGUGUCAACAUAGUGUCAACUUUAAGCGUCAAUUGGUGUCAAUUUUUGAGUGGGCAUUUUUUGCAAAUUGAAUGUGGGAUAACACAAUUGCUUAUCAGCGUCCUUAUGCUUGACUAAGUUUACAAUGCCGCAUUGUUGUGCAUUUGGAUGUUCGAAGAAAGGUGCGGUGCUGCACGUUUUUCCAAAUCCAAACAAACACCCUGAUCGAUUUAAAGUUUGGGUUCAGCUUAUUGGGGGCAAGUUGGGCACCCCAUCAGAUUAUGAAUUUUAUAAAAAAAAGAGGAUUUGCGAUCUUCAUUUUACCGAAGAACAUAGGAAUCGCUUUAAGCGAUUAAAUGCUAUAGCAGUACCGACCCUAUGUCUACUUGAUGACUCUACCAGCGCGAGCUACGCGCUACGAGCAUAGCCGACAACAUGAGAAUCCACCACAACAUCCACCUUUCAAGAUGUUGCUCCUGUAACUGACAUUCAGCCCACCUUUCAUUCUGCUGCUUCUGCGCCAGG